rnacentral:lncRNA from 1 species
AUGGAAUACCAUUGUCAUGCAAAUAAAGGACGCGUAAAAUAUCCCCCUCGCGCGCACUGCAGAGCAGAGACUCACUGGGAUCGCACGAAGGACGCGAAGCACGGGGCACGCGGGGGAAUUUCAUACUACGUCGUCGCCAGAACCCGUCCAAUUGUCACAGCCACCCUUGCCAGACGAACUGCGGCGGCUGCAGGAUCCUGCAGGCAAGAGGGUAAAAUCGCAAGAAGAACCAACCUGCCCAGAUUCAACUGCAUUUUAUUCAUCUUGUUUGGAGUUAACCGUGGCCGUUCUUCCAGAAUACCUACAGAAGAAACGUUUCAACGGUCGCUCUGCUCCAUCUCUGCAAUAUAACAUAUACUACCUGUUGCUGCUAGUAACAACGGAGGAGAAGAGGGGGAGACUACACCUUGCGACACUUGGAUCUCUUAUAAACACACUUUGUAGGGAGUUGGAUUUCGCAACCUUUAAUCUUUUGCACACAAAGUGUGUUAUUUUGUCUAUGUCCAUUUUGGGAUAUUAGUGGUUUUACCAUAUCUAUAGUAUACACGUUUUUAAAGUGCCUUACAACUGGUAUUAAUCCAGUAUUUGGGGGGUAUUCCAACGCCAGAGACUCCAAUCAGUGACUAUCAGAUAGACAGGCACAGGAUCUAUCUCUAUAUCCCGGUUUCACCAUGAGUCAAGGGGAUGUAUCAACUUGCUCUGCGCCUCAGAUCGUAUUCCAAGAGGCGGUGAAGCAAGGCAACACAAAGGAACUCCACUCGUUGCUCCAGAACAUGACAAACUGCGAAUUCAAUGUCAACUCCUUCGGGCCCGAAGGACAGACGGCGUUGCAUCAGUCAGUCAUCGAUGGGAAUCUCGAACUUGUAAAACUGUUGGUGAAAUUCGGAGCCGAUAUUCGAUUGGCGAACAGGGAAGGGUGGAGUGCCUUACACAUUGCCGCUUUUGGAGGACAUCAAGACAUAGUCCUAUACCUCAUCACUAAGGCAAAGUACUCCUCUGGUGCACGGUGAUCUGCUACACUGCUGUCAGGUAAACACACGGAAAGCCAGGCUCUUGUAAAUUUAGCGUUUCGAUUUAUAGUUGUGCCAAAUUAUAGCCUACAAAACACAGUAACUUCCCUUUCAUCAAAACCAAACGGGGGUCUCACUCGUGAGUCAAACGCCACAUGGUUCUUGUAUCCGCUUCAGCAUUAAAAAAACGCCAUUUUGUUGGGUUGGUACUAAAGCUUUUUCCUUGAACGUGUAUAAUAGAUUGGGACGUAUAAAAUAACUAAGCCAGUGUUUGGGUCCCGAGACCUGAUAGCAGCCUAGUUUCACGCAGCGAUAUAGAAAGUCUAUUUUUUUUUGUCGCGGUUACAUUGAAACACUUUUUUUAUUGGGCUUCGUAUUGAGGUGUCGCCUUGUAACUGCGGUGGUCACACAGGACCCUUUUUAAAUGAUUUUAUAUACUAAAAGAUGGCACUUGUUGCUGUGGCUGCAUGCUGGAAUAUAUGAAAGGGAAGAAAAGGUGAACACGGGAAAUGAAUGCCAUACUAUAUUUGGCUAUUAUUUCUUUUUUAAAUUAUAGGAUUUGAUCUAUUUCAAAGAGCAGCAUUAUUAGGCCUAUAUAUUACACCCAACCGGUAUUUCCAGAUGUGUAAUCAUUGUAACAACUAUUGACUUAAUGUUGUUAAGUACUUUACACAAUAGCUUUACUUUGUUUCUUUAUAAUAAAAAAGUAGCUAAAUGCGCCCUGCCUUCAAGCAGGCUGCUGGCAUGUAUCAAUGUCUCUUCAGGCCAGUGCGACCGCAGUGUCAAUGGUUAAUGUGAUAUAAACCGCUGCUUUCGCUUUGUAUCAAAACGUCAGGAAAGUGGCAUUUGGAAUUCACUUUAAUCUCCUUUCAGUAUUUUAACGAACAACACCCUGGUCAUCACUGUGAAUACAGGCUGGGUUCUAUUUAUGAAGGUACAUUGACCAGAUGCAUUUUGAAAAUUCUGUGGUUAUUCUUUUCAAAUCAAAUCUGUUACGUUUAAGAAUAUUUAGGGUGACUUAUAAAGCUGCUUCAGACUCUAUGCUUAUCAUAGUAUAAACUAUCCUGUGUGGAGACCCCAUGUACAAUAAGCCUAAAUUUGACCUUGCUAAAGAGAGACUCUUCUUUGUCCCUCAUUAACUUCUUGUUUGGUUUUAUUUGCCAACUACCUCGACUGUAAAGUAUUCAAAACCAUUGGACUCAUGCUCACUCCAACACUCCAAUAUGGGGAGUCACACACAUCCUUUAGCACAGUGGAUCCCAACCAUUUUUGGUUACUGUACGAGAAGUACCCCCUCAGGUGCAUUUUGCCAGUAGGCCUAUGGUCUGAUGAGUCUUCUCAAGUACCCCCUGUUGAUAGGCAACCCCAGGGGUCCAGCACCCCCCCCCCCCUAGCUGGAAACCACUGAUCUAGCAUAUCCCCAAGCCUGCCUAUAGGCCAAAAAUAAUGCUCAUACCCACACAGACAUUUGAAGUAAUAGCUAUUUUAGCAGUAGGCCCCAAGCCAAUGCUAUUUAACCCAGUGAUAUAGGCUAGGAGACAACUAUGGUGUUUCUUCUGCAACGCAAUAAUGUCUAUUUCAUAUUAAUCAAGCCCGUUUCUUAUCUUCAUCUGGGAUGAAUUUAUUUCCCACACUACAACCAAACUUUAAUCUGACAAGCAAAGCAUUUUAUUUUUUUUGCCUUUCUGUAAAGGUAUGGUUGCAAACACACAUUGCCUUUUUUUUGUUUUAUACAUUGUAUAGUCAUUCUGUUUUGAAGUUUCUAUUUAGUCACAAAAAUUGCAUUGUAUUGCCUGACUUAUAAAUGCAGGGAGUUUUAUUGCACAAAAUGCAGAGCCUUUUUACGCCCCCUGGUGCCUGUCCGGGUAACUGCAGGAGUUAAGGCUUAGAAAUAGUUACUACUGAGCAGGAGUAAAACAUUUUAUUACUCAUGUUAUGAUGACUAACAUCUACAUGACUAUUGCAGCAUAUAUAUAUAAAACAAAUGGUUUAAACUGCCUGCUGCAUUUUGAAAGUCAUGGCACCCUAAUGUUUGUUUCAAUGCUGCUUGUAUGUUUUAUAUUAGAUUUUACUCAAUGGCCAACAGUAAGUGAAAGAAAUAUCUGAUAGCAUCACAGUCAUUCAAUGAAAAUCCCUGUGUGUGUGUGUGUGUGUGAGAGAGUGCACAUGCGUGCAUGAAUGAAUGUGUGUAUAUAUGUCUGUGUGUGCUGCAUUCAUCUGACUGUUGUGUCCUGAGUGAGUUGAGCUGUGUUCCCCUUCCCUGGCCUGUGUGUGGCCUGCUCCUCUCCUCUAGUGUGUGGCCUGCUCCUCUCCUCUAGUGUGUGGCCUGCUCCUCUCCUCUAGUGUGUGGCCUGCUCCUCUCCUCUAGUGUGUGGCUUUGUGUUGCUACCUGGGGGUCUUCCCUCCCUGCAGUAAGGAGAGUCACCAGGGAUGAAGGACUGUCCUUCCAUGUACCUGGAAAAGCAAACUAAAUGGAUUAGAAAGAAACAUCAAGGAAUAGAUUGGUUUUAGUGGAACAAAAAAAUAUGCAUCGCUUGUCUUAAACUUGAUAUUUUUUAUAUAUAUAUAUUUUAAAUAUUGCACUGACUGUUGUUGAUUAAGUUGACUUUUUAUCAAGUCAAAUUGUAUUGUUUUUCCGAAUAGAAAAAAAAAGGAACACAACAAAAUACUAUUGUAUAAAAACAACUCCAGGUUGUAAUGUUUUGUGUGUUAACUUUGUGAAACAUUGUGUUAAGGCAAAGAUUGUUUGAAUCUUUGUGAUCGGGUAUGUGUUUAUAUACAGUACCAGUCAAACGUUUGGACACCUACUCAUUCAAGGGUAGGUAUAACAAAUAAAGAGAAACCCUGGAGUGAGUGGGUGGGUCCUGACUUUUGACUGGUACUGUUUAUAUAUAAUAUGCUGAAAUAUCUUGGAGCACUUUCUUUUCUGAAGUGCUGUCCUCCUCCUGUUGUUAUGAAAGGGGAAAAAUACAUUUGAUGGUAAGAUCAUUGUUACAAAAAAAAAUUGCACAGCGUAUGGUUGUUCUACUCAAGUGUCAUAACAUUUAUGGCCCGAGAGAGGACGACUGGAUAGGUGUAAAUGAAUGAGAGAAAGUGCUGACGUUUAAAUAAAUAAAUUGGGCCGGGGCGUGUUCUGUUUUCGUUGAGCUUUUUUUCGAGCGAAACAAAAACAAAUGUCUGAGUUUAAUGAGUGAUGCUGAAGUUCCAUCGUGUUUUGAUGUUGGGUUUUCUUGUUUUUGUUCUGUAUUUUGUUUUGAACGUUUGUAACACUGUGAUCAUGAUGUGUGUUGAGAAAAUGAGUGCUGUAAUAUUUUUGUACGUUUGUGUACAAGCCAGUAAAAAAAAAAUCUUUAAACUCUGUGUGUCUAUGCAUGUUUCUUUUUCCCUACCCCCAGGCAGUCCCAGCCCCCGUUACCCAUAGAGAAGAAUAGUGACGGGCACAUACCCCUCUUCUCUCCCGUUCUCCCAGGCUAGCCCAGAUCCCCUCUCCCAGGCCAUCCGGAUCCCCAUUCUCUCCCUUUGUUAUUCAGUCAGCCUCAUCUUUUCACAUGCUGGAUAAAAGAGCCACGCACAUGAUUGUGGGUAGUUGUGGUUUAUAGAAGGCAGGGUUCCCUCCCCAGUGUAUGCAGGUUUUAUGUUACUCUCUCUGUCUGUCUGUGUAGUCUGAGGAAGGUCCCUAGCUCAACUCUCUGGCUCUGCAUCACUAUUCCUCUUCUCUCUAUUAAACCCCCUGGGCACUUGUCUGUUUCUCUCUGUCUGUCUCGCUCUCUCUCGUCCUCGGCGGUCCCCGUCUCUCUCGCCUCGCUCCCUCGGGCGUCCCCUCUCUCUCUCCCUCUGGCCGGUCCCUC